GUUAACACACAUAGGCAGAUGCCUAGGAAUACAGGACUCGGAAUGCACGACCUCCUUUCCACGAAACCACUGGAGAAUUAAUCCCUUUAGAAUUUUAAUCAGGUAGAAUUUCAAUUUAAUUUAUACAUUAUUAUGCUGGUAAGAAAUGGUAGCUGUAUAUAUCCUCAAAAUGACAUCCUUCAAUAUGUCAGUGACCACCCUUGUAGUAGCCGUUUCCAUAUUGAGCAGCUACCUUAGUAUGACUACCGAAGCCACCCCAAAUCCUCUCUACCAUUUCUGCUCAAAUACAACCAUUUUCAAUCCCAACAGCCCCUACAAAUCUAAUCUGGAUAUCGUUUUGUCUAAUCUUUCCUCGAACGCCGCCCAAGAAAGAGAUUUCAUCUACUUAGAUGCCGAUGCUGGUGGCGUCAACGGCACUAGUAAUUAUGUCUAUGGCAACUAUCUCUGCCGUGGCGACGUUAACUCCACCAUCUGCCACGGCUGUGUGUUAGCAUCAAUCGAAUUUGCACGCCGGAAUUGCUCUGUAGAGAAAGAGAUGAUCGUAUGGUACGAUGAAUGCAUGCUGCGCUAUUCCAACCAAUCUUUCCGGUCCACCAUGUCAGUGUAUCCCUAUUUUUACAUUUGGAAUGUGGAGAAUGCGACGGAAAUGGACAAAUUCAAGCAGGAAGUAGAGAAGACAAUGAAUGAAUUUGCAAGUAAGGCUGCAAAUGGUGCUAAGAAGUUCAUGUCACAAGAAGCCAAUAUAUCAGGAUUCGACACCAUCUACAGCUUGGUGCAGUGCACGCAGGACUUGUCUAGCCAAGACUGUACCACAUGUCUCUGGAUUGCGAUUUCAAGGCUUCCAUCGUCGCUUGAUGGAAAAAGAGGUGCAAGAGUUUACCUUCCUAGUUGUAAUAUUACGUACGAACUUUAUCCUUUUUAUUAUGUGGCUGAACCGCCGCAGACGACACCACAACUUGUUUCUCCUCCUCCUCCUCCACCUACAGAUCCGGUAACGGUGCCUAAAGGAAAAAGCAAAAUGUCACCAUUAGCCAUUGUUGGGAUUGUAAUAGCUGUAACUACUGUUUCUUUGACCCUGCUACUCACGGGCUGCCGUAUGCUUCUUCGUCACAAGAGAGCAAGAGACAAUUACCAUACUAUUCGACGACAAAAUGGUGAAAGUGAAAUUUCAACCAUAGAGUCUCUGCAAUUUGACUUGGAAACCAUAGAAACAGCCACAAGCAGGUUUUCUGAAAACAAUAAGCUUGGUGAAGGCGGAUUUGGUGAAGUCUUCAAGGGAACACUUCCGAAUGGACAAGAAAUAGCUGUAAAAAGACUAUCAAAAAGUUCCAGUCAAGGUGCUGUAGAAUUUAAAAAUGAGGUUGUACUGGUAACCAAGCUUCAACAUAGAAACCUGGUUAGGCUUUUGGGAUUCUGCUUGGAUGGAGGAGAAAAAAUGCUUGUCUAUGAAUUUGUACCAAAAAAAAGCCUUGAUUGUUUUUUGUUUGUGGUUACAUGGCUCCGGAAUAUGCUAUGGAGGGAUUAUAUUCCAUCAAGUCUGAUGUCUUCAGUUUCGGUGUAUUGUUGCUUGAGAUCCUAAGUGGGAGAAAGAACUCUGGUUUUCAUCUCACCAAAUUUGCUCCUAGCUUGCUUGCAUAUGCAUGGAAUUUGUGGAAUGAAGGGAAAGUGUUGGAGUUGAUGGAUCCGUUGCUAAAAGAUUCAUGUGCAGCAAAUGAGUUUAUUAGAUACGUUCAAAUGGUUGCUAUGUGUUCAAGAAGAUGCAUAUAACAGGCCAACCAUGUCAUCUGUUGUCCAUAUGUUGAAAAGUGAAACUAUUAGCCUUUCUCAACCGGAACGACCUGCUUUCUCUGUUGGAAGAAUUACCCAACAUCAUGAAUUCGAACCCGCUCCUGAUCGCAGUUUGUCUGAUAAUGGUUUUUCAAUUUCUACUUUUUUGCCUCGGUGAUCAGGGAAGAUAACUAUGGAUAAAGGAUUUCGAAUAUGUAUAGGUUGAUAAAUUUCUCAUCUCCACGGACAAAAACUAGAAUUUGUCUCAUAUUUUCUUGUAAUUUUCCAUGCAAAAUGCAUUUUUUAGUGCAUAGGAAUAAUACGAUACUGAAGAGAACAUAGAAAACCAAGAAAUUGUAGAGCAAAAUAAAGAGUUUCAAGGACCCAGUCUCCUAAUGUAUGCUAACAAAUAGUCCAUGAAAUUUCAGAACAUUCA